GGGGUUGUGGCCUAGUGGUAGAGCACUUGUAUUUCAUGCAUGAGGCCCUGGGUUCAAUCCUCAGCACCA
rnacentral:tRNA from 1 species